AAGAAAGAAGAGGUCGGACGAAUCAAGAUCUUAGAAGUGCAAGAAGGGAGUUUUCACAAGUAAAAUUCAAGUGUGCUUUGAAACGAACAGCGUGCCUCUAUAAAAAAUCAGCACUCGACGGGAUUUCAGAGAUCGAAGAGGUGAGCUCAGAAAUCGGAGAAGCAUCUUGCUUUUCCAGCCAUGUCAGCACCCAUCACACGCAAACUCAGCUUUGCGGAAAUCACGGGUAAUUUGUCGAAGCGCCGAUCCCAAUUAUCGAAGAGGCGCCAGUCUUUUUCAGCCGCGUCAACACCUGUCAUAUGCACACUCAGCUUGGCGGAAAUUACGGACAAUUUGUCGAAGAUUUCUGAUAAAGAAGAAAGCACGUGAAGCCAUAUAGAUCAAUCACGCAUUGGUUGCCGACACGAGUGAAAGAAUAAUACCUCUACAGGUAUCAAAGAACUUCCUAUAAUUGUCUACCUUCGUCUUCCAUAGCAAGGCAAACAUACAGAGCCUUUCUUCAUCUCCAAAAAUGCUUUCCCAACGAAGCCUCUCGAGUCAUUCAAUGUUCCUUAUUCCUUGGGGUACCUCUACAAGCCAAUGACUCCAAAGCAAAAGUAUCUCAUAUCACCAGGGUAGAAAGCAAGAGUAUCUCAUAUCAUGCGUUCUCCCUGUCAUUUCCUUUGUCCUUGUUCCUACCUACAAAGACAAGGAUAAAGAAAAUAAUAUGCCGGAACUUCCACUCAAGCUCGGGUAAGGAACCGACUGUUUGGAACCCUUCCCUGACUGCCUACCUAGCACUCCUCUCGAGUACUCGUCUCCCACUGCUGUUGUACUUCCAAAGAAGCUGCCACAUCUGCCUGAAGAACAGAUAAAGGCAAGUGAAAAUGAUACCUUGCAGCAUGUGGAGACAACGUGCAGAAGAAACAAGCAGAGAAGAAUGCGGUCUGCACAGUCAACUUAGCAGAAGGAGUCCGAACUGAGGAACUCGAGAAGCUGCCAUAUCUGCCUGAAGAAACAAGCAGAGAAGAAUGCAGCAUGCACAGUCAACUCAGCAGAAGGAGUCUGAGAUGAAGAACUCGAGAAGAUGCCGCAUCUGCCUGAGGAACAGUUAAAGGAAAUGAAAAUGAUACCUUGAAGCAUGUGGAGACAAGUGCAAAAGCACGUGCUGAGUCAUCCGCUACUUCUUCAAAAUCAAAAGUAUCUCAUAUCAUCAGGGUUGCAAUCACUCUGGACGGUGAACUCGUUUUGACCCUCAAAUUCUUGGGUCGACUUACUAGGCGUUGUGGGCUGCACGUGCCGAUUCACCACCCUUGAAUCAAAUCCUUAAAGAUCAAGUCACCAACUGGAAGAAGAGCCCAUCAAUCUUGAAGAUCAUACUGUUGACCAAACUGCUCAGGUGUGAAUUAGAAAGAUUGAACAAAGCAACAAGUCGUCACUUUCACCUCGUGCCUGCUUGCCAUGUGUUCGAGUCAACCUUCAAGAAUCAAGCCUCAACGGCCCUUGAAGAAGUUUCCGGCCAAAUUCAAGAUUAAGCCUCGACGGCCUUUGAAGAAAUCACAAGUCCGAUUCAAGAUCAAAUGUCUACCACCCUUGAAUCAAAACCUAGUUCAAGAAUAAGCUGUGGAAAAUCAACAAUUGGAGGAAUCCAGAAAAUCCUCCAACCCGGUUCAAGAUCAAAGCUGUGGAAAGUCAACAAGCGCAACAAAAUACGUGCCGAUUCAUCCACUACCAAAGCCAAAGAUCAUCUACCACAUGAAGCUCCUUGUGGUCUAAUUUCAACCUUCAAGAUCAAGCCUCGACGGCCCUUGAAGAAAUCUCCAACCCAAUUCAAGAUCAAGCCCCAACGGCCCUUGGAUCGACAUCUACAAUAAGGGACUUCAAAACACAUCUCCUACACAUGACAAGCACAUGUAUACGACGCGCCUUGAAGUGGGGGCAUUUGUAGACAUCGAAAUUUCGGUAAAUAAAUGUUGACCGAUAAAUCAAAGUUUCAACGCUCAUGUAUUACAUAAAUUUUACACGUAGCGUGUGUCUAAACAAAAAUCGAAAUAAGUUGGAAAAGUCAUCAAACAGGACACGUGUCAACACCUGGCAGAAACAACUUAUUUCAUCUGGAAUAUUAUAUUCAAAACUAGGCCUUGGAAAAUUCUAUAAAUAGAAGGCUAAUUCAUUCAUUUAAGAAAGGAAUUGAUAUUACACCUUGAAGCUCUGAAGCUCUGAAACUCCGAAGCUCUCAAGUAUCCAGGUUCCCGAAGAAUCAAGAAAGCUCUCUUCGUUCUUCGUUCAUCCUAAGAUCAAGCCCCAACGGCCCUUUGGAUCAACAAUCAUCCACCAAUUCAAGAUCAAGCCCCGACGGCCCUUGAAGAAAGUGUUCUUCGUUCUUCGUUCAUCGCUCUUUCAAGAUCAAGCCCCGACGGCCCUUGAAGAAAGCACCAUCGUUCAUCAUCCGUUCAUCCAAGAUCAAGCCCUAACGGCCCUUUGGAUCAACAACGUCGACAAAUCCACACACAUCCAACCGUUCUUCAAGAUUAAGCCCAAAAGCCCUUGAAGAUCUGUUCAUCACUGUUUCUUCAAGAUCAAGCCCAAAAGCCCUUGAAGAUCUGUUCAUCACCAUUACUCAAGAUCAAACCCCAACGGCUCCUUGAAGAUUCGCUCAAAUCCACCUUCAAAGAUCAAGCCCACGGCCCUUUGAAGGAACUUCCAACAGUUCAUCCAAGAUCAAGCCCCGACGGCCCUUGGAUCAAUCGCACAUCCACCAAUCAACACCUUACGGAGAUCGAAUCAGAUGAUCAAAUUUAAGAGAGAUUGUAACCCAAAAUCAUCAAAUACAAAUAUUUGUUUAUGCGCGUUGUUCUUGUCUCAUUCGUUUCAGGAAUUUUCCGUGUUCACACCAACAUCACAUAAAACUUAUACAUAUUGAUGACUAUAUUGUGAAUACAGAUUUCUGUGGUAUUUCUUCACUUCAGAUUGGUCUGAAAACACAAAAAUAAUUAAAUCGCUACCAUUGUUUUCUACACAAAAACCCCAACCACCCAAAAACCUUAUGUGCGUCUGUUCUUCUUUUGUGUCUCCUUUGGUUUUUACCUAUUUUUUCAUUUUUUAACAGCAUUUUCUCCUUCAUCAUUAGCUCUGCCAUACAACCUUUAAACCUAUUAAAACCUAUACAUUUUCAAUAUUUUCCUUCAUUUGUUAACAUUCAUUUGGUUUUUUGUUUCAAUACCAACUUGCUUAAACUUUUAUUACUUUCCUUCUCCUUUGUCAGCUGCUUAAACCCUUUUAAAACACUAUAUCCACUUAUUAAUUUCCGUUACCCAUUUGGAUUAAAAAAUUCUUUUCCUUUGCAAUUCUUUUUCUUCAUUUUUCUUACACUUAGUAACUCAGGUUUCCAUUGAUUAGAUCCCGCUUCUUCUCAUCUGUUCCAAAACUGACUCUUCAAUAUGCAACCAAAAUUUUAAGUCAAUUUCUCCUACGGAUUAGUUUCUUUUUCAGCGCUGCAAUUUUUUUACAUUUUGUAAUUCAUUGAGUUCACAAUUCCUUUAAACUUUGUACAUGUUGAGACCAACUUCUGUCUUUUCCUUUUCAUUCUCCACUUCACAAGUUACAAUCUUCUCAACAUAAUGUUUUUAGUGAAUUCCAAACAUUGGUCUUCAUGGUUCUCAUCAUUACAUUGUAAAAAGUUACUUCACAUCGAAAAUAUUUGUCAACCAUUUGACAACCGCCUGGAAAAAAAUUGGUACUUUUAUAACCGCAUGUGUUUUUCCAAAAAUUAUAAACAUUGAUCCUUCAAAACUUUGAUCAACUUUUUAGAUUCAGCAAUUCGAAUGUUGCCGUUUGGUUUCAUGUAGCUAAUGUUCCUUUGCUAAAUUCAAACCCAGAUUCCACAUUGCACAAUACAUCCCCAUUUUCACACACAUCCUAUAUCAAUUUCCUAUUCAUCGUUACCAUUCGAUAAAAACCCUGUUCUCAAGUUCUUUUUCAAAAUUGAUUUUUUUAACCUUAUAUUAAUAUGUUAUACCCAUGAUAAACCUAUUUCUAUCUAUCAUUUCAUCAUUAGUGAUCAAUAUGCGUUUAUGCCUAUUAGUUUUUUCCAAUCCCACUGUUACAACUUUAAACCAUUCACAAUAAAAUUAAAUUCAACGAUAUUCAUUCUUAUUUGUUGGACAUAACAUUAUGCAAAAAUGGCAUACAACAACACACCACCGCAGCAACACGCAAGCACACUAACUAGUUAUAACUAAGAAUAGGGUAAAAUAUAUAGUAUAAUAUCGACUUAUCAACCAAGUUUAAUGAUAAGGUGGGUACAUUUAUUUUAGAGAAUGCUCCAAAAAAUGCCAAAUAUUCCUCGCCCAUGGUCCAAAAGGAAGUUUUGAACAUUCUCGCCAACAUAUAGUAAGAAGAAAAAUUCGUGAAGAAGUUGGGGACGGUGUUUUUUGUAUUCUUAUUGAUGAAGCACAUGAUACUGCUCACAAAGAGCAAAUGACUAUUAUUUUAAGAUUUGUUGCUAGUGAUGGUUUUCUAUGAGAAUGUUUUUUAAACAUUGUGUGGGUUGAAGACGAUAAGAAAGCCCUUGCUUUCCAUGAGAUGCCUAUAAAAAGUUACGAGGUCAAGGCUGUGAUGGUGGAAGAUGCAAGGUCAGUGGAAUGGGCUACAAUCAUUAUUUGUUAAAGAUUGUUCAUUCGCUUAUUAUGUGCAUUGUUUUGUCCAUCAACUGCAAUUAACAUUAGUUGCAGCAUCAAAAGAAGUGAAUGUUAUCUGGUUAUUCUUUUUAGCAUUAGGCUCAAUUGUAAAUGUUAUUACUACUUUUUCAAAACAUCAUAAUCAGUUGCAAGUAGCACACACAAUGAACAUUGUAGAGUUAAUAGCUAGUGAACACACAGGAAGAUGAGCUAAUCAAAUUGGUACUAUACAUUGACUUGGAGCUACUCGUUGGAGUUCUCAUUAUGAUUUAGUAUGUGACUUGAUACAUAUGUACGAUGUGUCUUGUACAGUACUUGAGAACAUAAAGAAUGACAGAUUUACUACAAACUCUUUACGUGGGGAAGCUAUCGAUACUUACAAUGCAAUCAAUUUUUUUAAAUUUAUUUUUAUCUUUAGUCUAUUGCAGGUUCCUUUGUCGUGAACUACAAAAUAAGUCACAAAACAUUGUGAAUGCUAUGAAUCUAGUUACUACUACAAACGAUUUUCUUUUGGAAGUUGCGAUUAGAUGCUUGGCUACCAUUAUUGAUAAAGUGAAUUCAUUAUGUAAGAAAACAUGAGGUUGAUAUGCUUGAUAUUAAUGCUCAAUACAAAAUAGGAACUGGUCGUUCUUGUUAGCAAACAGAUCAUAUUACAUAUGAGCGUCAUUAUUGCAUUGAUAUCUUCAAUAAUAUAGUAGAUUUUCAGUUGAUGGAGCUAAAUAGUAGGUUUAAUGAGGAGGCAAUGGAACUUCUUAUUUCAGUUCAGCUUCAGAACCAAGAGAUGCUUCGAAGGCAUUUAACAUUGAUACAUUUGCAAGCUUGUACAGAAAUUUUAUCCCCAAGAUUUUUCUCAUAAAGAGCUACCAUAUGUUGAGGUGUGAGUUGAAAAUCUAUGUAUCAGACGUACCACAUCAUCUUGUGUUUCAAAAAGUGUCUACGACUUCUUAAUUAUGUCGGAGAUUAGUUGAAACAAAGAGGUCUGAAGGUACCAUUUGAUUGAUAGGUUAAUUCACCUUGUAUUGAUUUUUCCCGUUUCUAUAGUAACUAUUGAGCAAGUUUUUUCAGCCAUGAAUCUUAUUAAAACAAGACUUCGCAACAAGAUGGAGAGUGAAUUUCUAACAGAUUCAAUGGUUGUCUACAUUGAAAAAGAGCUUGCCGAAAAUGUUGAUUCAAAUGAUAUAAUAUAACAAAAGAUUUUAAUUCCAUUAAGGAUCAAAGGGCACAACUUGAAUAGGUAUUUUAUUUAUUUAUUUAUUAAGUUGUUAUGAACAAGAUUGAUGAUAUAUGUUUUCAUUCUAUUGCAAUUGCAACUUUAAAUAUUUUCUUCGUUAAGUCUAGUUGAAACUUGAUUUAUGUAGAGUUUAAAUUUCUUACUUCAAAUUAUUACUUUUAGGUUUACUAUUAUAUAACUUUAGGUAGGCAACAAAAAAAUUGGAGCAUUUGAUUUCUAGUAAUAAUUUUAGCUUAGCCCACCCAUCAAAUAAUUCAUGACUCUGCCAUUGCAUGUCUAACAAUCACUAAUAAAUUUUUCACUAUUGUCGAUUCGUUAAAUGGGAAAAACAAACAGGAAAAAGAUGAAAAUGAAUGAUGCUCAACGGCUCAUUGUUUGGGAUUAAGAUAAGUAUGCCCAACUCCGAGCAUAUCAUCUGCAUAUUUUGCAAAGAGUAUAUUCCUCCUUCCGUAAAGCCUUUUGUUAAUGAAAUAUGAUAGUUCAUACCUUCAAAGGCCAAUGCAAUAGUUAUGACCUUCCCAUGCAUGCAAAGUAACCAAGUAGGUUCCAACAAUAAUAAAGUCGACACAGUCAGAAAUGUAUACAAUAAUUUCCAUGGUGAAGUAGAGGAUCGACAAGCGGCUACAUUAUAAGAGGUUUUAAGUUUGAAUAUCUCUUGCUGAUUGAAACACAUUUCUCGCUCAAUGUACAUGCUAAGUGAAAUACGAUAUUACUUAUAUAUAUAUAUAUAUAUAUAUAUAUAUAUAUAUAUAUAUAUAUAUAUAUAUAUAUAUAUAUAUAUAUAGUAUAUGUAUCUAUAUCAUAUAUAUCACGAAAGCUCUCUCCAACCACAACCAAGGAAAACUAAUGAAAAUGACUUGAAAACUUUAAGUUUUAAUGAUAAGGACAAAAUAAAGAGUAAAGUGAAUAGUACCAGGAUUGACUUUUUAGUGUAAAAAUGUCGUUUUUCGUUAAAGUGAACAGUACCGGAUGCUUUUCGUUAAAAUUCCCUUUAAAAUAAAGUUAAUAUAAUAUAAGAGUAAAUCUCUACCAUAUAUAUCAUGAAGGCUCUCUCGACCAUUUAAAAUAAAGUUAAUAUAAUAUAAGAGUAAAGUUUGUUUGCUAAAAGUUUAGGGAAAUAUUGACUACUCUUACUGUUAGCGCUAGAACAUACCCAUAAACUCAAGUUGGAAAAAUCAUGAUUAAUUUAACAAUACUUCUUAAAAAACCAAAAAUUGAAUACACACACUCUUUCUUGCUUUCAUUUUUCUUCUACUUUUUGUCAACUUCUUAAGCAAUAAUUGCAUGAGAUGCACAAAACACUAAUGUUCAAACACAUGUUUAAGUACUUUCUAAACGAGAAAGUUUAUCAUUUUACGCUAAAGAUGAAGAUUCAACCGUUAAAGAGCAAAAUGUAUACAACAUAACAUAUGGUUAAACACUGUUCUAAAAAUCUCCGCCUAGCACCAUCCAAUGGCGAAGCCAGGAUUUCGGUUAGGAGGGGCCUCUCACAAUAUUAAAAAAAUAUUAAAUCAAUAGUAGUUACAAAACUGGUAACCAAAACAUCAUAGUAUAUAUAUGAAAAGUACCAAAAUUCAAAAUAACAUAGCAUUGAUAAUAUUACAUAUUCCCAAUAAUUAAAAUAAUUGUCCUCAACGAGUUUUCAUAUUUUGAAACCGUUGCAUAGUAUGUAAAUAUAUAUAUAUAUAUAUAUAUAUGCUAAUUUUACAAACUAAAACAAAUUAGGCAAUAGUUAAGAGAAAUGGCAAGACAUCAAUUUAAUCAUAAUUUAUAAACAAAAAAUUGUAAGAGGAGCUGAGAGUAAAAUACAUACUUUGGGUUGUUGACCAAUUACCUAAACUUCAAUGUCUUUUCUUUGAUGGAAUGAUGGAAUAAUGGAAUUCUUUAAUCUGCAAAAUAAAAAUAUUAUUUGUUAAAUUAAUUUACAAUUGUAGAUGACAACAUAUAUGAAUUAGCAAAUUGCAAAAAAAAAAAAAAAAAAAAAAAAAAAUUGAAAAUGACAACUUUGGAGAUUCGAAGUUCAUGCCUUUGAGGAUCAUGGAAAUUGAAGACUGAUCGAAAACCAAUACAUAGAUAUCAACCCUAACCCAGAUUGGCAGACUGCAGUCGGCUAGAAACUUAGAGAAUAAUAAAAUGCUAAUUUUUAGUAUUGGGAAAAGGAAUAGAAGUGUUGGAAGUUGGAAUAGGUAGGCUUUAGGGUUAGACUAGAUUACAUAAAUAUCCUUAAAUUAUUUAAAGAAGGCCAGAUCUUUUGUCUAGGAAAUUGGAAUGGUUUAAGUGAAAAAGUUAUGGAAAAGUGAUAAAAAUAAUAAAUAAAUAAAUAAAGUAGUACUAAUUUUUUUUAUAAACAAAAGCAGGGUGGGCCUAGGACUACUGUGGUCCUAUGGUCCCUCCGCCCUUGGCACCACCUAGGUCCCGUCUAGACGCUAAGCGGCUGACCAUUGUCUCGAUUAAUGUAUAAACAUUUGAAAAUUAAGAAAGGGCAGCUAGACCUACUGAGGCGCCUGCCUAAACUGUCUAGGCACCUGCCUAGCCCGCCCAGACACCUAUCUAGGUUGCGACUCACUUAUAUAGAAAAUAAAUAACUUUCUUUUUACAUUUUAUUGUUUACAAUAAAUUGUAAGAGACUAAUUGAACAUUUAAAUAAACACAUAUUAUAUGUUUGCUCCCCAUGUUUUCAUUAUAUUCAUAUACUUCAUAAUAUAUAUGUCAUUCUAUUUUCUAGUUUAUGAUGAAAUUAUAUAUAUUUUGAGUAUAAACAGACACUUAUUUACACAAAAUACAAUAAAUUUACUUAAAUCCGCAUAGUCCACCUAGUCUGCCUAGGUGCUAGGCCCCAGCUUGCCGCCCGACUAGUGUCUAGCGUCUUUUAGAACUUUGUGGUUAAAGUCUCAUGGAUUCAACGGUUAAAGUGAAGAAAUGCAAAAAGCAUACAAGCAAUUUAUAUUUUUUUUUUCCCUAAAAUUAAAAUAUUGUAUUUUUUUCAAUUAAAGUAAGGCAACUGACAUUUAAAUAUGAAUCCAAAUUUUCCAAACAUUUAAAUAUGAAUCUAUUUAAUCAAUGGUCAUUGGUCAUCAUGAAUAGCUUUCUAUCCAUUGGACAUUUAAAAUCGUAUUAAGUUGUUCCAAACAUAUAAUACUAGUUUUCCGUGACAAACCCAAACCCAAAAAAAAUUAUAUUCUAAAUUUUUUUAAACAAACGAUGUUAUUUAUACUAAGGAAUUAGGGGAGUAGGCUCAACCUCAUAAUGAGCUGACAAUAAUAUGGUUCAAAUUCGUCUUUAGCGAGAAUCCAAUCUAAGACCUCUCGCUUACAAGUGAAAAGGAAUAUCACCAAAUCGUAGUGCUAAGUAGCAAAUCAUAUUCUAAAAUUUGAUAGGAGUAUUGAUGUCGUGCAUUUUAUUUGUAAAUUUAUGUUCCGUAAUGGUAAUUAGGUCGUGUAUAAUUAAAAUCUUAGAUGGUUCUAGGUCGCAUAUUUUUAUGAGGGUAUUGCUCUAGUUUUUAAGAAGAUAUGGAUAGUUCUUGAUUGUCUAAAAUCUUAGAUUGAAACUUUAGAAUAGUUUGAUUGAAGACAAAAUGUUAAAUUUCAGUAAAAAGAAGUUUAAUAACAAAAAUUAUUAAAUAAUUCCUAAAUCAUGCAAAGAGUAAUACCAACUAGGGAUUUUUAAUUUUUUUUCCCCUCAAAUUUGAAUUGCGUGAAAUUUGAUCUGAUUAUUUGUUUCUUCGAGAUAAAAUGUUUUAUUUUUAGAUAUUGGUAAGUUUUAAACUAAAAAGGUAUUUUUUUUUUAUAAAAUGGUGGGGUACUUAAAAAUAAAAUAAAAAGUGAAUAAGUUUACAUUGACAAAAUAUGUACAUUUUGCAUAAAAAUUGGUACAUUUUACAUACAUAUAUAUAUAUAUAUAUAUAUAUAUAUAUAUAUACAACAAAGUUUUCAUUUUCUUUAUAAAAAUAGGUACAUUAUAAAUAAAUUAUGCAUACAAAUAAAAGAUUAAAAAAAUUACAGGUAAAAAUAAAAGUUUAAAAAUGUGGGCAUACAAAAAUUUAAAUAAAUAAGUACAAAUUAAAAAAAAUAGUACGUAUUAGAAAAAUGCUUAUAAAUUAAAAAAGAAUGGGUAUAAAUUAAAAAUAGAAAGUAUGAUAAAAAAAUCAGUAAAAAAUAUAAAUAGAUCAUUUGUAACGUUUCUAACUGGAUCUAUUUAAAAAUAAUUAAAUAAUGACACACCCCGUCCCAAAGGAGGGCAUGCUGGCUGUCACAUGAGAGUGACGUAACCAUUUACACAGUUCAGAAGCUUUAAAGAUACCAUUACUAAGAUAUAACACCCGAAGGUGAAUCCUACUUUUGUGAAUUCUGUCAAAACACCGUUGGAUUCCUCGUGGCCACCCAAAGCUCUGCUAUCUUGAACCUGGAAGGGCGCAAAACAAAGUUGAGUGGGUUAGUAAAACAAAGUUUUUCGAAAACAUUUCAUUUAAAACAUUUCUAACCCCUUGCUGUAAAACUUGUAUACUUUCCCAGAAAAUAGUAUAUAAAUAACCAUAUAUAAUCUCAAAACUCAAAUCACAAGUCUUUAACACUUUUUGAGAAAAUAUGCCAUGCUAUGCAUCAAAACAUAAUAAAGAUGCAUCAAUAUAACAGGUGAAAUAAGGAAUCAACCGGAGACCCUACAAUUGGUCAUGUACGGUUAAUUCUAUAGCUCAAUAUCCAAACCAACCGGAGUCACCACGGUGACCUGUACGGCGCUACUCUGCACAUAAAUCGGAACUACCUGAAGUAGUCUGUACGAUAAGAAUGGUGUAAUAAUACGCUCUAGUGGUUCUCUCAUCAACAGCUGUAUAAUAAUCUAAAAUCACCUACAGUCGGAACCACUCUAUGGUCUGUACGACAUGUCGGAACCCUCUCAUGGUCUGUACGACAUGCACCUACUUGGAUCCAAGGUGAGCGUGCGGUGCGGGGUGAAUAAUAUAAGCACUAACACCAGAGGUGCAGGUUAUGAGCUCUCAACACAAUUCACAUUAUCAAUGAUUCACAUGAAUAACAUAAAACUCACCUGAUACUCACCUGUGCGUCCACAACACCAAUUCACACACACACACACACACACACACACACACACACACACACACACACACACACACACACACACACACACACACAUAUAUAUGCAUCAAUUAUCAAUUCAUAUAUUUCAUAAUAUGCAUGCAUGACAUUUUAAAACAUACUUUCAUUUAAAUUCAAUUUCUGGGAAAAUCGAUAGUAUAUAGGUAAAUACAGAAAAUACUGCCCACUCACCUGGAGUUCGCCCUACAACUCCCUAACACAACACAUCAAGGCGUCAUAACGAUCGGCGCCUAGAACAAUCAUCAAAUCAAACCUCAGAAUCAUAUCGAUAGAAUAUAUAACUUAUAUAAAACACGUCACUACGUUGUUCGAUCCGGAAGAUCUGCAACUCAGAUUUCCAAUCCAUAACUUCCAGAGGUCCACAAUAUAUCUCUAGAACAACAUCCUAAAAUUUCCUUACCAUCCAACGGUCGGAUCUCCGUCAAUUGUCAAAACCGAAUGAUAGUUAACAUUCUAUUUUAUGUACUUACAACUCCAAUUCCAGAAGAUCCGUAAAUCGGAUUCCCAAUCCAUAAGUUUCUAUAAUCCUCAAAUAUUACGUAUUACAACGUAUCAAAGUUUAGUGACGAUCUGACGGUUGGAUCGUCGAUUCACGUUACUUUCGGUUGGCCUAACCAUGAAUCGAAACGAACUUAGGUUCAAUUACUCAAUUUACGUCAAUCAAUUAUCAAAACUGAACCUAGAAUCUUAAACACAUGCUAAGAAUGACAUUGGCGGGCCACUGGCCACGCGCCGCUGCACGGGCCGCCACAGGUGGCGGUUGGUCACCCCGGCUUGCCGGAAAAUCCAACUAUUUCCAAAAAUUCUCAAAUAUUACAGAAAUGAAGAUCUCAAAGAGUAGAGCAAACUUUAUACCUCUGGCCAAGGCCAAUUUGUCCUAGAAAUUCUCCAAUUCCACCAAAACCGUGAAGAACCCUAGAAUUGGGUGUUUUCAAUUCGACCUUCAAAUCAACUCCGCCGUCCCAACCAAAGCUUGGGCUUUGUGCCAGGUCCUAAGGGAAUGCUAAUGGUGUUAGUAAUUGAAAGAAAACAUUUCAAGAUUUGAAGAAUUUGAACACGAAAGUCGCGGCACCAACGAGUGCGUUUUAAUCACCAACCCACCAUCAAAUUUCACUGAUUUUUUUGGGUGAAACAUGAAAGGGGAAGGCCUAGGUGUUGAUUGGGAAGUGCAUAGGGGCCUAGUGCCUAUUGAGUUCCUUGAUGGUCCAAUUCGUCGAAAAAUUGAACAAAAACGGCGAGAAACCGCCGGUUUGAAGGCAUGGGUCGCACGGGUCAAGGAUGACCCGUUUCCUCCUUUUCCCCCGUUCAUCACUCUCCCUCCUUUCCCUCCUUUCUUCUCCCUCUGAUUGGUCCUCUCACACUUUCUCUUCUUUUCUGGUUGGCCCCCAACUCGUCCCUCUCUCCUGUUCCGAUUGGGGCAGCUUUGCCCUUCUCUCCUCUUUUUUUUUUUUUUUUUUUUUUUUUUUUUUUUUUUUCUUUUCUUUUCCCCGAUGCCUUCCUCUUUCUUUCUUUUCUUCUUCUUUUUCUUCACAUACACACACACACACAAACCUUUCAACAUCUUUUUAUUUUUAUUUUCCUUCCCUUACAUCCAAGCCAUCCAUUUCAGAUUUCCUUUAAUCUGGGCCAUCCAAAUUUUAAUAAAAAUUCAUAAAUUGCCCAAACUUCAAACUUUAAAAUCUUUUUUCGUUUAUAACUCCAAAUAACGAACUGUCUGCGCCCACGCUUCUGUAGUGACGAGUACUACGAUGAUAUGUCAAGAAAACAAAUCUUAGUUGGCACGACACAAUGAUUAACCUCGAAUAAUGUGCGUGCCUCAAAGGGCAUUUUCGUAAAAUUCUUUAUUAAAACUUUAAAAACUCUUAAAAUCGGGGACGGGCUGUCACAAUUAAGUUUUAGUUAUAAAAUUUAAAUAUGCUGACAUGUAAAUAUUUUUUUAUUAAAAUAAUAAUGUGAAUAAAAACUAAAUGAUCUUGAUAAAAAAUUAAAAAAAUUAGACCAUCUCCAAAGAAAAUUCAAAUUUUGAAUAUAAAAUUUAAAUUUUGACAACUUAUUGGCACUUUGAUAUUUUUAAAGUUUUGUUCUCCAACCAAUAGUCAAAUUAAAUUAUUAUUUUAUUAUUUUAUAAAAUAAAUUAUUAAACUAAUUAAAAUUUAAUAAAGAAUAUUUAAAGUUUAAUCAGUAAUCUGUUCACCUUUCUUGAUUGAAAAGAAGAAAAAAGUAGGAUAAUUGCAUCGGUCAACUCAAUAUUAAUUAUAAUAAAUAAUUAAACUAAUUAAAAAUUAAUAAAAUAAAGAAAUUAUAGUCCAUAAAGGCAGUCAGUCAUCAGUCGUAUCUCUCUCUCGUGUGUCGCCUACAAAUUGAAUAUUCCCUCGCAAUAUCCACCCUUCCUCCGCCCUUUCCUCCCUCAUUUUACUCUCACUGUAACACGAACAUCAUCCCAACAACCCCACUUUCGCACGCGCCGCGUGGAGUAUCUGAUCCGUUCGUAAAUUAAUCUCUGCAGUAGGAUCCACCUCACACGACGCGCCAUUCGCGUAUCUAUAUAUAGUCGCAUACAGACGCUCAUUCUAUUUGUACAAAGAGAAACAGCUUGGUGUAAGACAGGGACAAGCGAACCAAUUGUUCCUCACUCCAAUCUAUCUAUAUCUAUCCAUCCCUCUUCCGGAUACGGAUUUGGAUUUUCGUUUCUGGACGAAGGUUGAGAAUUUGAAGCGCGGGAAUUGAUUCCUGAAUUGGGGUUCUUUCGGAUUUUGAUUUGGUGCGGAAAUGAGGCUGAACGGCGAGGUUCUUUCGUGCAACGGCGGGAGAGCAGCAGAGGAGGAGAGUGGAGAAAACGAGAGAGAAUUGCAUUCGAUCGUCAGCGUUGGGAUUUCUCAGCCGCCGAAGCUCGUCGUCGGGUACGCCUUGACCUCCAAAAAGAAGAAGAGCUUCUUGCAGCCCAAAUUCGUUGGGUUGGCUCGGUAUGUUGUAUAAUACCCACAAAUCUUUUCACCAUUUGCACACACACACACACACAUUCUUAUUAUGUACACACACACACACACACACACACACAUAUAUAUAUAUAUAUAAUAUGCAUGUAUAUAUUUGUAUGUAUGUGAAAUUUUGAAAUUUUGAAGCUUUGUGAGUUUUUAUUUUGUAGUUUCCUUAUAUGGGUAUCUCUUGUUUUCUAGUUUCAGUUUGUAUAUCUUGACUUUAUGAGCAUAAAAGAAGAAACAAAGGAAAAAGAAAGUGCCAUUUUUUUGUUGUUGCAGGGGGAUAUGGAUGUUUUUGUCUAUAUUGUUUUAAGCUUUGGCAAUAUUGAUCAAGGGCAAAGUGUGUUUUGCUUGGCUUUUCCAUCCAAUCUUCUUCUGUAGUGGGUAUCUGGAAUCUUGCUGUUUGGUGUCUUUCACUGAGACAAAUUUUAAAUAGGGGAAUAUUCCAUCACAUAUACCCUUUUGGGGUUGAGAGGAACCCGAAGUCAAUUCUUGGUGCUUGCUUCUGUUUUCCAAAAUUCAUAAAAACAGCAACGAUUUUCCCACUUCUGUCCUACUUUGAGUACUUAUUUACAAUCUUGUCCUUCAUCCUCUAUGUAAUUGCAUAGAUGAAUUUGGACUAAGUGGGGUGGACUAUUUACCCCUUCUUUUAGGUGCCUUUACAUUAGUGGUUGAAUGAUUUGAAUGAAGCUUUAGCUAAACCUGCAAUUUGUAUGAUUGAUGGCAUUAGGUUAAGAUGACAUGAGGUUAUUUCUUUCGAAUAUGAUCGAUGUAAAUAAAAAAUAAAACAGUUACAGGGGUACAAUAUAUAUUUGGAAAAUACUGUAAUUACUAUCAAUAAAAGUAGGGUUUUUUUAUUUUUAUUUACUACUUACCUGUUUGUGUGUCAGAUGAGAUGGACAUUAAACAGGUUUGUCAUUGCAGAUUGUUAAUUGUGCUCGAAAGCCAGACUCUUGACGAGUCGGCAGCCAUAAUUGUAUUUUUUCAAACCUUGUAUAAAGUAUAGGAUUGCAAAAAAAAAAGUAUUACCUACAUUCUUCGGGUACGUAUUAAAUUAUUUUGAAGAGUUUGAGUUUUUACUCAUAAUUGUGGCAUCAUAGUUGAAUGAAUUUUCUUGAUGCCUCCUGCCCUUUCACAUCUUUUAAAUGGCUCUUCCGUUUGUUGGGUUUAGUUAUUUUGUCAUUAUUAUAAUGUUUACACCGCUAAACCCAAGCUUUAAAACUGGAGCAACUGUUUGGACACUCGAUUUAGUAAAACGUUUCUGGGGUGCAGGAAUAAGGGGAUUUUCUUCAUUGCAAUUGAUGUAAACAAGCCACUUUCAGAUCAAGGACCCUUUGAUGUUGUUUUGCAUAAGGUAAGUGCUCAUAUGUUCUUUUAGACCCUUUUGUUCUCACUUGUGACAGUUUUUCCUAUUUUAAAAGCUUUUGUUUCUAAUUAAAGGCUGCCUCGGGUUGUAUGAUUUGAAUCACUGAUCAUGCCAUUCAAUAUCCCCUCCCCUUUUGUUUUACUAAUUAGUUUGUUCAUUGUAGAUUGACAAGUAUAUCGCAUAUACCAUAUUAAAUACAUAUAUAUAUAUAUAUAUAUAUAUAUAUAUAUAUAUAUAUAUAUAUAUAUAUCUGACAAAACUUUGUUCCUUCCAGUUGUCGGGAAAAGAGUGGUCCGAGGUUAUUGAGGUUUGUCCAUACAAACUUCAAGAUGCUUUCUUGACUUUCUUCCCCUUUUCUUGUAUUGGAAAUGAAUUUGUGGUGCUGCAUUUUUUGCUGUAAGUACUUAUGCAUGAUAUAAAGGGUUGCUUUGUGUUAUGCUGGAGUAUUAAGUCUGUGAGAUGGUUUAAAAAGAUGUUAUGAAUCCAGUGAGUUGGAGACUAGAAGCUCCAUUGUCAAUUAAAAUGCAGGUUUUGAAUAGAAUUUGUAGAUCCUCGGGACCAAGUACAACAUACCAAUACCUUAGUUUUCUUUUGGUCUAUCCUUGAUUUAUGAAAAGUCAAUCUCAUCUUCCCCAUUGAUUAAACCCCCUGGGCAAAGUCCUGGGAAUUUAAUCGUCUGUCACUUAUGUUUACUCAACAUGGUUUCAUGGUUUGGUAACUGAAGUGCAGUUUAUUUAUUGAGUAUUGUUGUGUCCUUACUUUCCCCAUCUGUCCUUCUGUAGGAUUACAGACAAAAACAUCCAGAAGUAACAGUUCUUGAUCCCCCAAAUUCAGUAAAAAAUCUAUACAACCGCCAGUCCAUGCUUCAGGAAGUGGCUGAUCUGAACUUGUCUGACUGCCAUGGUAUUUUUUCCUCCUUUACUCUUUAUGAAAACUGUGGAUAGUAUACAGGAAAAGUUGUGGUUAGAGUUUCUAACCAGUUUUCGUUUUGGUUUCUAUAGGCAAGGUUGGUGUUCCAAAGCAGUUGAUUGUCACUAAAGAUCCAUCAUCUAUUCCGAAUGAAGUUGAUAAAGCUGGGCUAAAAUUGCCGCUGGGUACAGUUACUUUAUCUUUCUUUUUGUGUGUGUUUUCAGGAGCACUGGUUUUUCUUUUAGUGUUAGGACACUGUUUCCUCCUCUGAAUGAAACGGAUUAUGACAUCUACAUACCCACGUGAUUGGUGGCACAAGGAUUCUUGAUAUGGCCUGGAGAUCCUCUGGAUUUCCAUGGCUAAGGUUAUCUUGGUAGAAUGUUAUGUAUAGCCAUACUGAUUGGCCGGAAGCAGGCUUCUUUGAACAAUUUGGUAGGGGAGCUUUGUUGUCAGCUAUUGUAGACUGAUGAAUCGUGACUUCUAUACUUCAACUAUUGACCUCUGUUUAUUUUGUAUUUAGUUGUCAAACCGCUGCUUGUGGAUGGUAGUGCGAAGUCACAUGAACUAUUUCUUGCUUACGACCAAUGCUCCCUCUCAGAACUCGAACCUCCCUUAGUCUUGCAGGAGUUUGUAAAUCAUGGUAUAAUGUGGUAACUGGUACUUGAUACUAUUUCUUUGUUCAACCACGUUGUGGUUCUAAUUAUACUUUUUCUGCCUCCUGUUUGCCGCAUUGUAGGUGGUGUUCUCUUUAAAGUUUAUAUCGUCGGGGAAGCCAUAAAGGUGGUAAGGCGUUUCUCUCUUCCCAAUAUCACUAAACGUGAACUAGAAAAGCUUGCUGGUGUGUUCCGUUUCCCAAGGGUUUCAUGUAGCUUCAGCAGAUGAUGCAGACCUGGACCCUGGUGUUGCUGGUAACAUCCGUUAACAAUGUUUAAUAUACUGGUUGUUAUGAAUAAAGCUUUGUCCCUACUUUCUUCAAACUUUUAUGACUUUUCGUGCUGUUUGUAAAUGCUGUUUCAAUGACAGCUUACUAAAACUACCUUAUUGUUCCUUGGACCCCUGAUUUAAAAUGGCAUUAUUGCUGCAGAACUUCCUCAACGACCUUUGUUAGAGAACCUUGCGAGGGAGCUCCGCCAACGACUGGUAUCUCUCUCUCUCUCUCUCUCUCUCUCUCUCUCUCUCUCUCUCUCUCUCAAGUUUGGCUAAUACUAUGCUAUUGCUCUAGGGCCUUAGGCUAUUCAAUGUCGAUAUGAUCCGAGAGCAUGGGACAAAGGAUGUUUUUUAUGUCAUUGACAUCAACUACUUUCCAGGUAAGUACAGUUUGUUCACUUAAUCUACUCUAUGUUGACAACUGCAAAGUUUCCGUGGUGUGUAUUGAAAUGUUUUGAACGAAUUACAGGUUACGGCAAAAUGCCAGACUACGAGCACAUGUUUACAGAUUUCCUACUAGGCCUUGUGCAAAGCAAGCAUAAGAGAAUACCCGCUACGUAACCACUGCAAGUACCCACUGUAUAUGAUGUUUCUUGCAGGCAGAUGCACGCCUCCUCGGAGUCGGGCAUUUCUCGUAAAGGGUCCGACCUGUUGAGUGGUGACACCGCCGCCUCUGACGGAACUGUGUUAUAAAGCAAAUUCAAUAACAGACGACUAAGAGAAGCUACGUCGUCAUCUCUUUCCCACUCCCACUUCUCUGUCUCUAGGUUAAGUUUUUGGCUCAAUCUUUACAUGAAUUUUGAUAGAAACUGCUCCCGAGUAUAUUUUGCUUGUACUUUUUUUGUAUGUUAGUCGGAAUAUCUCAGAUCAUCUAAAAGUUGUUCAAACCGGACACCACCUGAGAGAGUGCCAUUAUCCUGGACUCUAGAGUCUAAGAAAAUCAUGGUCACCCACCGUUUUAUUUUAACCAACAGUGGAGGCGAAAGUAUUACGUACACAAACUACAUAGGAAGAGAUUUAUUUCGCGUAUAGCUUCCACCUACUUUAUACAAUACCAUUGGUUGGCAUGGCACAUAUUCUACAAGAAUACAAAGCAUACUCCUUACAACGCUGUGGCCCACAAAUACGUACAAACAAUAUAUACAUAUACACAUUAUGUACAGUCCGCCGCUGCUUACCAAAACGGACACCACCUGAAAGAAGCACAAUAAGCACAACAGCCGUUGUUAGACAAACGCACAUUCUAACUCGGUAUACAGAACAGAUAAAAAAACUCAGCAUGACUUGUUCCCGCUCCAUAAUAAUAUAGCCAUUCACCCGACAAUUACUUGGCGAGGUGAACAAUAUAAGAAUGUCGGUAUUAAGUGGCUCUGAUCCCACCAAACUGGUGUGUGUCGGAUGAGAAUUUGGGCACUGAGAUCCCGAACAAAACCAAUCAUAGGUUGUCACGAAUCAAUAGACUUCAUAUGUCAAACCUCCACUCAUGUCGGGCAAGGACCGAAUGAGUACACAUGCACACGAGUUUAAUUAUUCUAAACUAGGUUUAAAGAAACUGGAGAUAGAAGAGGAAAAUUUUCAAACAUCUUACCCGACAUAAUUUUGGCAUAAAUUUUCACUAGAUGAUGCUUGGAUAAUCAACUUUUGAACUUGCUGCUUAACAGAUAAACCAUGGUCAACUUCUCUACUGUCUCCAGAAAUCAGCGUGCUGUGGUCAAUUGCAUGUUGAAUAGAGCUGGAAGAUACAGAGGAACUGGCAGAAAAAUCACGUCCAGUAAGUUUACUCUUCAUCCGAGCCAUGACAACCACAGCAAGCUCAUUCAAGACCUCAUUAGCAUCACCCAAUUGAUUGACAGCCUACAUGGAAAACCAAAUAAAUGAGCAUAACCAAGAACAUCAUUUUGAAGCAUCUUAGGAUGAAUUUCUGGAAUACCUCAAGAAGUUCCCUUUCACGAGCACCUCGUUGAGGUUGGCGAAGCUCUCUAUUUUGAGCGGGUUCUUCAGCACCCGCAACAGGAGUAACAUUACUAUUUCCAAGCAUUGACAUUUGGGGAACUUCAUUGAAGUUGAAGAGACGCCAAUUAAUGAGAGGAUCAUGGACAAAGGCCUGAACACAGGUAAACUUAAGAAUUAGCUUCCUUACUCAAGGAUUUAAAGGAGAAUGAAUUUAGUGUUGUUCAUUCAAUAGGGCACCAUCAACAGUAUCAACAAAACCACACCCACCCACAAGUCCACCCCAUUACUUUGAAAUUUUAGAUGACUAUUGCUUGCUGCGAAUAGAUGCUUUUCAAUGGCAUAAUACAAAGGCCUAGCUAUGUACUGAUAUCUUGACCAGGAUGUUAUCACCUAUGUUGCUGUAAAUAAUAGUUCAUACAACUCUUUGAUCAAUUCUCCUUGCAGGUUUAUUCAGAAAAUGCCCCAUUGUUAUCAUAGUCGGCUUGGUGCUGAGUGAAAUACUUCAGAAUGAAUGUAUCCUAAAUCCUAAUAAAAUAAUGGGUAAAAGACUGUUUACUACCCUCAUGUUUCGUGGUUUUCAACAUUUAGUACAUCAAGUUUUUUUCGUCUCAGAUUCAUACCUAAAGUGUAAAUUUUGAAACAAUCUCAUAUAUCCGUUAGUCAAACUGUUAAAUCUACCGUUAAUUGUGACGUGGCGCCCAUGUCGACAAUGACUAGGCACCACGUGUCAUCCACAUUUUUUUUUUCUUGAUCACCUACAAGAGUGGGUCGUCAAAAACACAAAUAGAUUUUCUUCUAAUGAGGAAAGGGGAUCGUAUAACUUGUAAGGAUUGCAAAGUUAUACCAGGAGAGAGCGUGGCUAAUCAACAUCGCUUGUUGGUGAUGGAUGUACAUAUCAAAAGAGUGAGAAAAAAGAACAAGACUUGGAAGUGCCCAAGGACUAGAUGGUGGAAUCUAAAAGAAGAAAAACAAGUCAUUUUCAAAGAGAAAGUAAUCACCCAGUGUGUGUGGGAUAGAGAGGGGGAAGCUAACCAAAUGUGGGAUUCCAUGGCUAGUUGUAUCCGAAAAGUAGCAAAAGAGGUAUUAGGAGAGUCCAAGGGCUUUGCCCCACACCAAAAGGAAUCUUGGUGGUGGAAUGAGAAGGUACAAACAAAGGUGAAGGCUAAGAAGGAAUGUUGUAAAGCCUUAUACAAGGAUAGGACCGAUGAAAAUGGUGAAAGGUAUAGAAAAACGAAGCAAGAGGCGAAGAAAGCUGUGAGUGAAGCUAAGUUAGCGGCUUAUGACGAUAUGUAUAAGCGACUAGAUACCAAAGAAGGAGAGUUGGAUAUCUAUAAACUAGCUAGAGCAAGGGAAAAGAAGACAAGGGACCUAAACCAAGUGAGGUGCAUCAAGGAUGAGGAUGGAAAGAUUCUUGCUACAAAGAACGCGGUUAAAGACAGAUGGAAAGGUUAUUUUCAUAAUCUUUUCAAUGAAGGACAUGAAAGGAGUGCUUCUUUAGGGGAGUUGAGUAACUCAAAAGAGUGUAGAAACUACUCUUUUUAUCGUAGAAUCCGGAAGGAUUGUAGCUUUGAAGAAGAUGAAGCAUAGAAAAGCAGUAGGCCCAGACGAUAUACCAAUCGAAGUGUGGAAAGUUUUGGGAGAGACAGGUAUAACAUGGCUCACUGACCUUUUCAAUAGGAUUUUGAAAACGAAGAAGAUGCCAAAUGAGUGGCGAAUGAGCACUUUGGUGCCUAUCUACAAGAAUAAGGGCGAUGUACAAAAUUGCAUGAACUAUAGGGGUAUUAAGCUAAUGAGUCAUACAAUGAAGCUCUGGGAGAGAGUCAUUGAGCAUAGAUUGAGGCAAGAGACACGGGUUUCGGACAACCAAUUCGGGUUCAUGCCAGGGCGCUCAACCAUGGAGGCAAUCUAUCUCUUACGAAGAUUGAUGGAAAGAUAUAGAAAUGGGAAAAAGGAUUUACACAUGGUCUUUAUAGAUUUGGAAAAAGCGUAUGAUAGGGUCCCAAGAGAGACAUUCUUUGGAGGAUUUUAGAGAAGAAAGGAGUACGAGUAGCAUAUAUCCAAGCUAUACAGGAUAUGUAUGAAGGAGCAAAGACUGCCGUAAGAACUCAUGAAGGACAAACCGAAAGCUUUCCCAUAACUGUAGGAUUACAUCAAGGCUCAUCCUUAAGUCCUUACCUUUUUGCGUUGGUAAUGGAUGAGUUAACAGGACAUAUUCAAGAUGAUAUUCCUUGGUGUAUGCUUUUCGCAGACGAUAUAGUGUUGAUAGAUGAAACUCAGGAAGGGGUAAAUGCAAAGCUUAACCUUUGGAGAGAAGUGUUGGAAUCUAAAGGUCUUCGCCUAAGCCGAUCAAAGACAGAAUAUAUAUAUAUGGAGUGCAAGUUCAGUGCAAAUGGAGGCCAAAACGAGUUAGGGGUGAGGAUCGGAGAUCAAGAAAUACCAAAGAGCGACCGUUUUCGUUACCUAGGAUCUAUCUUGCAAAAGAACGGAGAAUUAGAUGGAGAUCUCAACCAUAGAAUACAAGCUGGAUGGAUGAAGUGGAAGAGUGCAUCCGGCGUGUUGUGUGACCGCCGUAUGCCACUGAAGCUCAAGGGAAAAUUUUAAUAGGACGGCAAUAAGGCCGGCGAUGCUGUAUGGCACAGAAUGUUGGGCGGUGAAGCAUCAACACGUACACAAAAUGGGUGUAGCGGAGAUGAGGAUGCUUCGUUGGAUGUGUGGGCACACGAGAAAGGAUAAGAUUAGGAAUGAGGAUAUCCGGGGUAAAGUAGGAGUAGCCGAAAUUGAAGGAAAGAUGAGAGAAAAUCGGUUACGGUGGUUUGGACAUGUGCAAAGAAGGCCUACUGACGUUCCGAUUAGAAGAUGCGACUAUGGGACAGAGGUUCAGGGCCGAAGGGGUAGAGGAAGACCUAGGAAAACUUUGGAAGAGACCCUAAGAAAAGACUUAGAGUACUUGGAUCUAACGGAGGACAUGACACAGGACAGAACACAAUGGCGUUCUAAGAUUCAUAUAGCCGAUCCCACUCAGUGACUUUGAUUUUUCAAGUCUCCAACCGAGAAGUUUUCCUCACUCGGGAAAUUAAGGGAACACUACCUCAACCUACAUGCUCCACUCACAAAGCUUCAACAUACAAGCUUCAACAAAAGAAAAUUCAAAGAACUUAGCGAAGAAGGCUUUGGUGUAUUUAACACAAUACGUUGAAAUGAAGGAAAGCUUAUUUAUUGAUAUCCCCGAUAAGUUACAAAUAUGUACAUAUACUUGAGUCAAAAUAAACAAACAAGAGGGAGCCUUCACAAAGGUUGCUUAGGAGAAGUCUCAGCAGUCGGUAGAGCCCCAGAAAGAGAAGGCACCAGAGGGGGAUCAUUUGGAGCCUCAGUACUGGACAAAACCCUAGAAGGAGGAGGCAUCAGAGGUUGAUCAUUUGGAGCUUCAUUACGCGGUACAGCCCCAGAAGACGAAGGCAAUAAAUGCCUUUGGAACAAACCCACAAAUCUCUGAUGAUCAAGUAAAACCUGACCAUCAGAUUCCUUCAUCUGGUCAAGCUUCCUUCUUCAUGUUUGUAGCAUAGUCAUGUGCGAGCCGGUGCAACUGUUUAUUCUCAUGCUUGAGCCCUCUAAUCUCCUGUUUGAGACUCAUCACUUCAGCCGCCAAUGAUUCAACUUGGCGGGUUCGAGCAAAUAGGCGUUGGGCCAUAUUAGACACAGAACCUGCACACUGAACACUGAGAGCCAGAGAAUCCUUAACAGCUAACUCAUCAGACCGUUUGGAAAGUAGUCUGUUAUCUUUGGGAGUGAGAAGGUUCCUGGCCACCACCGCAGCGGUCAUAUCAUUCUUCAUCACGGAAUCCCCAACGGUAAGAGGACCAGUAGGGGAGACGAAGGAUGGGCGCCAUAUGUUGUCUGGAGAAGGCGGGGCUGCCUCUUCAACAAGGUUCAAGUCAAAACGACGGUCGGAGGGGCCAGACAUUUUCAAAGGUGUUGAAGAGAGAAGAGGUCGGACAAAUCAAGAUCUUAGAAGUGCAAGAAUGGAGCUUCUACUGGUGGAGAUUCAAGUGUGCUUUGGAACUUAAUGUCAGCCCCUAUAAAAAUCUGCACUCGACGGAGCUUUCAGAAAUCGAAGAGGCGCCUGCUCAGAAAUCGAAGAGGCGUUUGCUUUCUCUCAAAAGCUGGGCUGCUCAGAGACCACGAGGGUCGAUCUCAGAAAUCGAAGAGGCGUUUGCUUUCUCAAAAGCUGGGCUGCUCAGAGACCACGAGGGCCGAUCUCAGAAAUCGAAGAGGCACCUACUUUUCCAGCCUUGUCAGCACCUGUCACACGCACACUCAGCUUUGCGGAAAUUAUGGGCAUUCUGUCGAAGAUUUCUGGCGAAGUAGAAAGCACAUGAAUCGUUACUGUUCAAUCACCCACUUCCCACACACAACAGUAGCUCAUGGGUACCACAGAUAACUUUGCCAAAGUUCUCUGACAAAGUUGAGACACGUGAAGCUUGCAGCUCCCACUACAUCGCUCUGACCAAGAAGGGUAAAAGAAUUGCAAAGAAACAACACUAACAAAGUUUAGACACAUAAAUUUUGAAGGUCUAGCUACCAUAUUAUUACCCACAAGGGUAAAGGAACAAUACCACUGCUGGAUAAUUGGAAAGUCCCGGUGUGUCAACCUCUGUGCUUCGUGGCAAGGUAGACUAGCAAACAUGCCCAACCUUUACUCACAUUCGAGAAAACACUCCCAACAUGAUUGCUUGCCCAAAAUCGAAGAAGGCACCGCCCUCGAAUCUCGAGAGCCAGACUCCCAACAUGAUUACUUUCUCAAAAAUCGAAGAGAGAGUAAAGGAACAGUACCACUGCUGGAUAAUUGGAAAGUCCAUGUGUGUCAACCUUUGUGCUUCGUGGCAAGGUAGACUAGCAAACAUGCCCAACCUUUACUCACAUUCGAGAAAACACUCCCAACAAGAUUGCUUGCUCCAAAAUCGAAGAGGCACCGCCCUCCGAAUCUCGAGAGCCAGACUCCCAACAUGAUUACUUUCUCAAAAAUCGAAGAGAGGGUAAAUGAACAGUACCACUGCUGGAUAAUUGGAAAGUCCCUGUGUGUCAACCUCUGUGCUUCGUGGCAAGGUAGACUAGCAAACAUGCCCAACCUUUACUCACAUUCGAGAAAACACUCCCAACAAGAUUGCUUGCUCCAAAAUCGAAGAGGCACCGCCCUCCAAAUCUCGAGAGCCAGACUCCCAACAUGAUUACUUUCUCAAAAAUCGAAGAGACACCGCUCUCCGAAUCUCGAGAGCCAGACCCCCAGCAGGAUUGCUUUCUCAAAAAUCGAAGAGGCAUCAUUCUCCGAAUCUCGAGAGCCAGAUUCCCGACAGGAUUGCUUGUUCGAAAACCGAAGAGGCACCACUUUCCCAACUUCAAGAGCUGGAUCUCCUUGGAUAAAGCUUGUCUGUAAUCUUCACACGCAACAUCAGCUUUCCAGAUACCACAGACCACUUUUUCAAAGUGCUCUGACAAAGUUAAAACAUGUGAAGCUGGCAGCUCCCACUACCGUGCUAUGACCAAGCAGGGUAAAGGAAUAGCAUUAUUACUUGAUGUUAGGGAGACUCCUAUAUAUGUUGACCUUCAUCCCUAACGGACAGGCAGACCUGCAAAAAUGCUCAACCCUUUCUCUUAUCUGAGAGGGCACUCCCAACGAAGCCUUUCGAAAUAUUCAGCUUUCUUUCCCCCCGAUAAUACCUCUGUAAACAAGCUAUACUAGAGCAAGAAUAUCUCAUAUCAUCAGGGUUAAAAGCAAGAGUAUCCCAUAUCAUGUUUUUUCCCUGUCUUUUCCUUUGGCCUUGUUCUUACCUGCAAGACAAGGAGAAAGAGAGCAAUCAGUCAGCACUUGGAAUCAAGCUUCCAGCCAGGAACUGACUGCCUGGAACCCCUUACCUGAUUACUUACCUGGCAUUGCUCUCGAGUACUCAUCUUCAACAUCUUAUGCUUCCAGGGAAGAUACCGCAUCUGCCUGAGGAACAGAUAGGGCAAGUGAGAAGGAUACAAGGAAGCAUGUGGAGACAAGCGUAACAGCACACGUGCCGAUACAUCCACUACUCUGUCAAAAGCAAAAGUAUCCCAUAUCAGCAAGGUCGAACGUACUCUAGAUUUGAUGGACUUGUUUUGACCCUCAAAUUCUUCAGUCAGCCUUAUACUCUGGAGGAAACCAGAAAACCCUCCAGCCCGGUUUAAGAAUAAGCCUGUGGAAAGUUACUUCUUCAAAAGCAAAAGUAUCCCAUAUCAUUUCUUCUCAUUUUUCUUCUCUUUAUCCUUCAUGCUGCCUGCAAGAUAGGGAGAAUAUGAACAAUCAGCCGGAGCUCUGAUUGCUUACCUUGUCUGUCACCUCUUUCAGCAGAUCCCCUAGCCCGACGACUUGGGGGACUCCUACUACAUGGUUUGUAUCGCGUUUGACCAAGCCUGAAACUACAAGUAAGCUUCAAGUGAAAUUGAUACGUUACCUUGUGCAUCUCCACCAGUUACAGAUACCACCCCUGGAUGGAGGAAGAGUACUUCCAGAGAAGAUGCCACAUCUACCUAUGAGACAGAUAAGACAAGUCAAGACGAUACCACACUCCGGUACUUAGAAGUUUCGUGGUUACGAGAUCAUUCUCCCACAAUAUUUCCUAAUGUCAUUUGUACUAAAUCAUUCACUUGUACUCACUAAAGGAGAGCUUGAACCUAUGUACUUGUGUAAACCCUUCACAAUUAAUGAGAACUCCUCUAUUCCGUGGACGUAGCCAAUCUGGGUGAACCACGUACAUCUUGUGUUUGCUUUCCUAUCUCUAUCCAUUUAUAUACUUAUCCACACUAAUGACCGGAGCAAUCUAGAGAAGAUCACAAAAAGUGACCGUUUUCGCUACCUAGGAUCUAUCUUGCAAGAGAACGGAGAAUUAGAUGGAGAUCUCAACCAUAGAAUACAAGCUGGAUGGAUGAAGUGUAAGAGUGCACCCGGCGUGUUGUGUGACCGUCGUAGGCCACUGAAGCUCAAGGGAAAAUUUUAUAGGACGGCAAUAAGGCCAGCGAUGUUGUAUGGCACAGAAUGUUGGGCGGUGAAGCAUCAACACGCACACAAAAUGGGUGUAGCGGAGAUGAGGAUGCUUCGUGGGAUGUAUGGGCACACGAGAAAGGAUAAGAUUGGGAAUGAGGAUAUCCGAGGUAAAGUAGGAGUAGCCAAAAUUGAAGGAAAUAUGAGAGAAAAUCGGUUCCGGUGGUUUGGACAUGUGCAAAGAAGGCCUACUGACGCUCCGGUUCAAAAAUGUGACUACGGGACAGAGGUUCAGGGCCGAAGGGGUAGAGGAAGACCUAGGAAAACUUUGGAAGAGACCCUAAGAAAAGACUUGAGUACUUGGAUCUAACGGAGGACAUGAUACAAAACCGAGCGCAAUGGCGUUCUAGGAUUCAUAUAACCGACCCCACUUAGUGGGAAAAGGCUUUGUUGUUGUUGUUGUUGUUGUUUCUUCUUUCUUCUUCCUUCUUCUUCUUCCUCCGAAUGCAACUUUUUUUUUUUUCUUCCUCCUCCUUCCUUCCCCUUCUUCUUCCUUCACCUUCUCCUUCUUCUUCUUCCUCCGAAUCUAGGGAAUUUUUUUUUUCUUCUUCUUUCUUCUUCCUUCUUCCUUCUUCUUCUUCUUCUUCCUCCGACUGCAACUUUUUUUUCCUCCUUCUCCUUCUCCUUCUUCUUCUUCUCCUUCUUCUUCUUCUUCCGAUUGCAACUUUUGUUCUAUUUUUUUUUCUUCCUCCUUCCCCGUCUUCCUUCAUCCUUCUUCCUUCCCCUUCUUCUCCUUCUUCUCCUUCUUCCUUCUUCUUCUUCUUCCGACGAAUCUGGGGAAGAUGAAGGUUUUUAUUUUUUUGAGGAAGAUGAAGAAGAAGGAAGAAGGAAGAAGGAAGAAGAGAAGAGAGAGGAAGAAGAAGAAGGAAAGAAGGAAAAAGAAGGAGCGAAAAGAAAAGCAGGGAAGGAAAAAAAAAAAAAAGUUGCAGUCAGAGGGAAGGAGGAAGGAAAAAAAAAAAGUUGCAGUCGGAGGGAAGAAGAAGAAGAAAGAAGAAAAAAAAAAAAAACCGAAUCUGCAACCCAGAUUCGGAGGAAGAAGAAGAAGAAGAAGAGGAAGGAAGAAGGAGGAAGGAGAAGGACGAAGGAGGAAGAAGAAGGAGAAGGAGAAGGAAGAAGGAAGAAGGUGAUGUAGAACAAAUGGCGGAAUGGAUUGAGCAGGAGAUGGAACGUCGGAAGACAAAAGUGCGCAAUCAUAAAAGGGGUGUUAAUUUCCCACAAAAGUGGCUCGAGCCAUCUUUUGCAGAAAGUCAUCAAAACAGCAGCCUACUAAUAAAUUGAGUUUUUUGGGGUUUCAAGGGUUUUUAUUAUAUGUCAGUUAUUUUCAUUUUAAUUCCCUAAGUCUUUUGAGUUUCCCAAAGGGUUGUAAAAGGCUUAUGUAAGCCAUGGCUUUGUAAUCAUUUAGACAUCUUUCAAUCAAUUAAUCAAAUUAUCCUUUGGGAUUUCUAUCAACUGGUGGACUCCAGUAACUUUGUUCUACAAGGGUUUACGCUGCUAACCCUUUCAUUGCUUCGUGCUGCGUCAAUUGGUAUCAGAGCGGGUUUCUCCCGUCUUGGCAUCGUUGAUUAUCCUAUAUAUCCAUGGGUGAUCGUGAUCGUGAACCUGCCCCUAUCACUUGAGCAGACUUGGAUGCUCAAGCUGAACAGAUUACAAACUUGACUGCUCAAAUUGGAGAACUUCGUGAGAUGUUGGUCCAAGCCAUCGGUCCAAAUAAUCAUAGAGCUGCUGGAGUCAAUAAUCUGCGAGUUCCUAGGCUCCGUGUUCAAGACAGCGAAUCGGAGUCCGAAGAAGAAGAUGCGGAACCACACCCAGCUAACAAUCCAAAUCAUCAAAACCGCAACAACUUUGAUGACUUUCGGAUUAAGGCCGACAUUCCAACUUUUGCGGGAAACCUUAAAAUCGAAGAUUUCCUGGAUUGGCUAGUUGAAGUAGAAAGAUUCUUUGAUGUCAUGGAGGUUCCCGAGACAAAGAUGGUGAAGAUGGUGGCCUUCCGUCUCAAAGCAACUGCCGCUGUUUGGUGGGAUCCAUUACAAAAUACCCGGCAGAGGCAAGGAAAGAAUCGAAUCCGCACUUCGAGAAAAAUGAAGCAACUCUUGAUGGAUCGUUUCUUACUUGCGGAUUAUGAACAGCUUUUGUAUCGUAUGUACAUCAACUGCGUCCAAGGCAACAGAAACGUGACUGAUUAUACGGAUGAUUUCACGAGACUUGCGGAGCGAAACAAUCUGAUGGAGACAGAAAAUCAAAGGGUUGCGAGGUUCGUGAAUGGAUUGAAACCCUCCAUUCAAGAAAAGAUUGGGCUGCAAAAUUUGUGGAGUUUGCAAGAGGCCAUUAACAUGGCCUUGAAGGUGGAGAUAAUAGAGAAAGAAAGGCGACAAACCUCUUUCCGGAGGAAUGUGACGGAGCAUUUUGAAAACCCUGUUGUCUCGUCCACCGACAAUGGGAAAUCUGUGCCACAAAGUUCGGGAGAAUUGAAACCUUUAAGUUUUCCUUCUCGCAUCAAAUGAAGGGAGUAGCAGAACUUUUAACAAGGGGCAGAAUAGAAACCAACCUCCAAGGGAGAAUCCAUACGCCAAGCCUAUGGGAGACAUUUGUUAUCGUUGCAACAAAAUUGGGCAUCGAUCUAACGUUUGUCCUGAACGGAGACAAGCCAACUUGUUGGAGGCUGAAGGGGACCAAGAAGAAGUUGGUGGUGAUGACUAUGAAGGCGUUGAAUUCGCAACUGAAGAAGGAAUGGAUCGCCUCGCUAUGGUGUUGCAACGAGUUCUUUUAACACCAAAAGAGGAUGGGCAACGACACUGCAUUUUUCGUUCUCUUUGCUCCAUCAACAGCAAAGUUUGCGAAGUGAUUGUAGACAAUGGAAGUUGUGAAAAUUUUGUGGCCAAGAAAGUGGUGGAGCGUUUACAGCUACCAACGAAACCUCAUGGAUGGGUGAAGACCUUGGAUGGUGACAAAGGCCCUUCCUCUUCACAAAAACUUGCCGUGUCCCACUUUCCAUUUUUACCGUGAUGAAGUACUUUGCGAUGUUUUAUUGAUAUGGAUGCUUGUCAUAUACUAUUAGGGAGACCGUGGCAGUUUGAUGUGGAUUCAACAUUGAACGGUCGAGAUAAUGUGGUGUUAUUUACUUGGAAUAAUCAGAAGAUUGCGAUGACAAGUAAUACUAGUUUCCUCACUCUAAUGUGAUAAGCAGGAGAUUGAAGUGGCCAUAAAAGAAGCAGAUUCUUUCUUUCCGAUCGUGAUGAAGGGACUAUUGACAGAAAACAAAGAAGAGGAACAAAUCUCUUCAGAAGCGCAGCAAUUUCAUGAACUCAUUUCUCACAAGUUGCCUAACGAGCUUCCUCCCAUGAGGAACAUCCAACAUCAAAUUGAUUUGGUAACUGGAGCUAGCCUACCAAAUCUUCCCCAUUAUCGAAUGAGCCCUACAAAAUAUGAGAUUUUGAGGGAACAAAUUGAAGACUUGCUGCGAAAGGGGUUUAUCCGAGAAAGUAUGAGCCCUUGUGCAGUACCUGCCCUAUUGGUUCCAAAGAAAGACAAGGAAAAGAAAAAGGCAUGGCGUAUGUGUGUAGACAGCCAAGCUAUUAACCGAAUCACCAUCAAAUACAGAUUUCCAAUACCUCGGUUUGAUGACAUGCUAGAUGUGCUUGAAGGUUCGAAAUUAUUUUCAAAAAUUGACCUUCGCGCAGUGGCCUGGACCAUCAAAUUCAAGAGCAAGAUGAUGGAGUGCCUAGUGAUGCAAUGGAUUGUCUAAUGCGAGUACCUUCAUGAGGCUUAUGAAUCAGGUUCUUCAUCCCUUUAUUGGUCUCUUUGGUUUUACUUUGAUGACAUCUUAAUCUAUAGCAAGACCAGAGAACACAUGAUGCAUUUGAGACACGUUUUGGGUGUUUUGAAAGAAAAUAAAUUGUAUAUGAAUCUCAAGAAAUGCAUAUUUUGUACAAGUAAAUUGCUAUUUCUAGGAUUUGUGGUUGGUGAAAAUUGUAUUCAGGUGGAUGAUGAGAAGACCAAGGCCAUCCGAGAUUGGCCAACUUCGAAGUCCGUCUCCGACGUGAGGAGUUUCCAUGGCUUGGCUACUUUUUAUUGGAGAUUUGUGCAGCAUUUCAGCACCAUCACCGCACCCAUUACAGAAUGUUUGAAGAAAGGCAAGUUCCGUUGGGGAGAUGAACAAGAACAAAAGCUUUGUUUGAUUGAUCAAAGAGAAGCUUUGUAUUUCCGUAAGAGAAAGUAUUUUAAGAAGUCGAAUGUGAUGCAAGUGGAGUGGGAGUGGGUGCUGUCCUUUCCCAAGAGAAGAGACCUAUAGCUUUUUUCUCUGAAAAGCUAAGUGAAGCCUGUAAAAAAUGGAGCACUUGUGAUUAGGAGUUUUAUGCGGUGAUUCGACUUUAAAACAAUUAGAAGCAUGUUAAUAAAAUGCAUAUCAGAUGGGUAACGUUCUUGCAAAAAUUUCCAUUUGUUAUUAGGCACAAAUCUGGAGCUCAAAACCGUGUUGCCGAUGCCUUGAGUAGACGAGCAUCAUUGCUAAUCACUCUUUCCCAAGAAGUUGUAUGCAACCGAUGAUGAUUUUCAGGAAAUAUGGAGGAAAUGCAUUAAUCAUGAUUGAUGGAGGCAAAUGCAUUAUCAUGAACCUUACUCUAUCAAUAUCAACGAAGGUUUUCUGUUCAAAGUAAAAUUAUGCCUUUUUUCCAUGGAGGAGAAAGCUUUUGACAAGACGAUUUGCAAGGUUUAUGGUCCUCUUCCUUGUUAUUCGAGCAUUAAGUCAUCUUGGUCGUGACAAGACGAUAGCAAGUUUGGAAGAAAGGUACUUUUGGCCACAAUUGAAACGAGAUGUUGGAGUCAUUGUGAGGAAGUGUUACACUUGUCAGGUUUCAAAGGGGCAAGUCCAAAAUACGGGCCUUUACAUAUCUUUACCCAUUCCUAACGAUAUUUGGGAGGACAUUGCUAUGGAUUUUGUGCUCGGACUACCCCAAACGCAAAGAGGAGUGGAUUCAGUUUUUGUGGUGGUUGACAGGUUCUCCAAGAUGACUCAUUUCAUUGCUUGCAGAAAGACCGCUGAUGCAUCAAACAUAGCCAAACUGUUUUUUAGAGAGGUUGUUCGAUUGCAUGGGGUACCCAAGUCCAUCACUUCUGAUCGAGACACCAAGUUCUUGAGUCAUUUCUAGAUUACAUUAUGGAGAAUGUUUGGGACUACUUUAAAUCGAAGUACUAUUGCACAUCCCCAAACUGAUGGACAAACAGAGGUCACAAAUAGGACUCUUGGUAACAUGGUUCGAAGCAUUUGCAGAGAAAAAACAAAACAAUGGGACUAUGCCCUACCUCUGAUGGAGUUUUCUUAUAAUAGUGAUGUACAUCAUGCUACUGGUAAGUCACCAUUUUCCAUUGUUUACACUGCCACUCCUCAUCACGUGGUGGAUUUGGUGAAGCUACCUAGGGGACAUGGACUUAGCAUUGAUGCAGAAAAUAUGGCUGAAGAUGUGGUGGCAAUUCGUGAUGAGGUCAAGCAACGGCUUGAACAAACCAAUGUUAAGUAUAAGGAAGCAGUGGACAAACAUCGGCGGGUUAAAGUGUUUAAGGAAGGAGAUUCUGUCAUGGUGUUCUUGAGAAGAGAACGAUUCCCUGUUGGAACUUACAGCAAGUUAAAGCCACGAAAGUAUGGUCCAUUCAAAGUUAUCAAGCGAAUUAAUGACAAUGCCUAUGUUAUUGAUUUGCCGGAGUCUAUGGGAAUUUCCAAUACUUUCAACGUUGCUGAUUUGUAUACCCUCAAUGAUGAUGAAGUUCUUUAUCCUGAUCAUAACUCGGGGUCGAGUUCUUCUAAAGUGGAGGGGACUGAUGUAGAACAAAUGGCGGAAUGGAUAGAGGAGGAGAUGGAACGUCAGAAGACAAAAGUGCGCAAUCAUAAAAGGGGUGUUAAUUUCCCAUAAAAGUGGCUUGAGCCACUUUUCGCAGAAACGUGUAAAAAUAAUUUUCCCACAAAAGUGGCUCGAGCCAUCUUUUGCAGAAAGUCAUCAAAACAACAGCCUACUAAUAAAUUAAGUCUUUUGGGGUUUCAAGGGUCUUUAUGAUAUGUCAGUUAUUUUCAUUUCAAUUCCCCAAGUCUUUUGAGUUUCCCAAAAGGUUGUAAAAGGCUUAUUUAAGCCAUGGCUUUGUAAUCAUUUAGACAUCUUUCAAUCAAUUAAUCAAAUUAUCCUUUGGGAUUUCUAUCAACUGGUGGACUCCAGUAACUUUGUUCUACAAGGGUUUACGCUGGUAACCCUUUCAUUGCUUCGUGCUGCGUCAAUAGGAGAAGAAGGGGAAGGAAGGAGGAAGAUAAAAAAAGAAAAAAAGUUGCAGUCAGAGGAAGAAGGAAGAAGAAAGAAGAAAAGAAAAAAAAACGUGGAUGACACGUGGCCCCCAAUCAUUGUCCACAUGGGCACCACGUCACAAUUAACGGUAGAUUUAACAGUUUGACUAACAGAUGUAUGAGACUGUCCCAAAAUUUACACUUUAGGUAUGAAUGUGAGACG
rnacentral:lncRNA from 1 species